UACGUAGGGGGCAAGCGUUGUCCGGAAUCAUUGGGCGUAAAGAGCUCGUAGGCGGUUCGAUAAGUCGGACGUGAAAUCUCCACGCUCAACGUGGAGGGGCCGUUCGAUACUGUCGUGACUCGAGUCCGGUAGGGGAGUGUGGAAUUCCCGGUGUAGCGGUGAAAUGCGCAGAGAUCGGGAGGAACACCCGUAGCGAAGGCGGCACUCUGGGCCGGUACUGACGCUGAGGAGCGAAAGCGUGGGGAGCAAACAGG
rnacentral:rRNA from 1 species